GACGAACGCUGGCGGCGUGCUUAACACAUGCGAGUCGAACGGAAAGGCCCUGCUUGCAGGGUACUCGAGUGGCGAACGGGUGAGUAACACGUGGGUGAUCUGCCCUGCACUUCGGGAUAAGCCUGGGAAACUGGGUCUAAUACCGGAUAGGAGCCAUAUUUCGUGUGAUGGUUGGAAAGUUUUUUCGGUUUAGGAUGAGCUCGCGGCCUAUCAGAUUGUUGGAGGGGUAAUGGCCUACCAAGGCGGCGACGGGUAGCCGGCCUGAGAGGGUGGACGGGCACAGUGGGACUGAGACACGGCCCAGACUCCGACGGGAGGCAGAAGUAGGGAAGAGUGCUCUAGGGGCGCAAGCCUGAUGCAGCGACGCCGCGGGGGGGAUGGCGGCCAUGGGGUUGUAAUCGCAUUUCGCUAUGGACGGAGCUUUUUGUGACGGUACCGAGAUAAGAAGCACCGGCUAACUACGUG
rnacentral:rRNA from 1 species